rnacentral:rRNA from 1 species
GAUCCUGACUCAGGAUGAACGCUAGCUACAGGCUUAACACAUGCAGGUCGAGGGGCAGCAUGGUCUUAGCUUGCUAAGGCCGAUGGCGACCGGCGCACGGGUGAGUAACGCGUAUCCAACCUGCCUUACACUCUUGGACAGCCUUCUGAAAGGGAGAUUAAUACAAGAUGUUAUCAUGAGUAAGCAUUUUCGCAUNUAAGUUUAAACGGUUUACCGGUAGUAAGUAGGGUGGGGAUGGUCCGUUCCUUAAG